AUGCUCGUUGAUGAUAAAAAGACGCGUUAUUCUGAGGGAGCAAACUGCCACCAGUCCUCUCCUCCUCCACCUUUCUCUCUUUCCUCCUCUGCUCUUCUUCCUCGCACUGGUUGGUGGUCCUCUGACUGUGAUUAUGAGAUCUGAGGGCAU
rnacentral:snoRNA from 1 species